rnacentral:pre_miRNA from 1 species
AGGUGGAACAACCCCAGUGGCGGCAGCCAGCUCUGAAGCCCUGGAUUCAGCUCCCGCAGUAACUCGGAGCUCUCAGCCUGCAGGGGCCUGGAGGCUCCGGGGCCGG